GCAACGUCACCGCGUUCGACGAGGCCAAGCGGCGCUGGGCCGUCGAGCUGGAGGAUGGGAGCAGAAAGCUCUUCAAGGAGGCGAACCUGACAGCCGGCGGAAGGGCACAGCCCAAGGCUAGACAG
rnacentral:SRP_RNA from 13 species